rnacentral:rRNA from 1 species
AGAGCAUUUGGUGGAUGCCUUGGCGCUAGAAGGCGAUGAAGGACGUAAUACACUGCGAUAAGCUCCGGGGAGCUGUGAAUAGGCUUUGAUCCGGAGAUUUCCGAAUGGGAAAACCCACCUGAUUUAUCAGGUAUCAUAUGGUGAAUACAUAGCCAUAUGAAGCAAACUCAGUGAACUGAAAUAUCUCAUUAGCUGAAGGAAAGGACAUCAACAGAGACUCCGUUAGUAGUGACGAGCGAACGCGGACCAGGCAAGUGGCUUCUAAAAGUAAACUAGAACAGUAUGGAAAGACUGGCAAUAAUAGGUGAUAGCCCUGUAUAGGUAAUGCUUUUUUAAGUCCUAGAGUAAGGCGGGACACGUGAAAUCCUGUUUGAACAUGGGGGGACCACCCUCCAAGCCUAAGUACUCUCUAGCGACCGAUAGUGAACAAGUACCGUGAGGGAAAGGUGAAAAGAACCCCGAUGAGGGGAGUGAAAUAGACACUGAAACCGAAUGCUUACAAUCAGUCGGAGCGGAAAUUUAUUUCUGUGACGGCGUACCUUUUGUAUAAUGGGUCAGCGACUUAGUUUGUCGAGCGAGCUUAAGCCGUUAGGUGUAGGCGUAGCGAAAGCGAGUCUGAAUAGGGCGAACUUAGUUCGACGAAUUAGACCCGAAACCGGGUGAUCUAGCCAUGGCCAGAUUGAAGGUGGAGUAACAUCCACUGAAGGAUCGAACCCACUAAUGUUGAAAAAUUAGGGGAUGAGCUGUGGUUAGGGGUGAAAGGCCAAUCAAACUCGGAGAUAGCUGGUUCUCCGCGAAAUCUAUUUAGGUAGAGCGUUAUAUGAUUACCACUGGAGGUAGAGCACUGGAUAAGCUAGGGGGUCCAACAGACUUACCAAACUUAACCAAACUCCGAAUGCCAGUGAGUACAGUAUAGCAGACAGACCAUGGGUGCUAAGGUCCGUGGUCGAGAGGGAAAGAGCCCAGACCGCCAUCUAAGGUCCCAAAAUCAUGACUAAGUGUUAAAGGAUGUGGGAAAACCAAAACAACUAGGAUGUUGGCUUAGAAGCAGCCAUCAUUUAAAGAAAGCGUAAUAGCUCACUAGUCUAAUUAAGUUUUCCUGCGCCGACAAUGUAACGGGGCUAAAGUCAUGUACCGAAGAUGCGGAUUCAUAUGUAAACAUAUGAGUGGUAGCGGAGCGUUCCGUAAGCCUGUGAAGGCAAUCUGUAAGGAUUGCUGGAGGUAUCGGAAGUGAGAAUGCUGACAUAAGUAGCGAUAAAGAAUGUGAGAGACAUUCUCGCCGAAAGUCCAAGGUUUCCUGCGUAAAGCUAAUCUGCGCAGGGUUAGUCGGCCCCUAAGAUGAGGCUGAAAGGCGUAGUCGAUGGGAAUCAGGUUAAUAUUCCUGAACCGAGGAGAAGUGACGAAGUUCGAAAGUUGUACAUGCUUAUUGGAUUGUGUGUGCAGUGAGGAACUUCCAGGAAAUAACUCUCCAAUUAAGACCGUACCCCAAACCGACACAGGUGGACAGGUAGAGUAUACCAAGGCGCUUGAGAGAACGAUGCUGAAGGAACUAGGCAAAUUGCAUCUGUAACUUCGGGAGAAAGAUGACCUAUGAUUGGGCAACCAGUUGUAGGUGGCACAAACCAGGGGGUAGCGACUGUUUAUUAAAAACACAGGGCUCUGCUAAGUCAAUAGACGAUGUAUAGGGCCUGACGCCUGCCCAGUGCUGGAAACGGUCCUAAGGUAGCGAAAUUCCUUGUCGGGUAAGUUCCGACCUGCACGAAUGGCGUAACGACUUCCCCGCUGUCUCCAGUAUCGACUCAGCGAAAUUGAAUUCUCGGUUAAGAUGCCGAGUACCCGCGGUUAGACGGAAAGACCCCGUGCACCUUUACUAUAGCUUUGCACUGGUAUUAGGAAUUAAAUGUGCAGAAUAGGUAGUAGACUAUGAAGCAAGAGCGCAAGCACUUGUGGAGUCAAAAUGUGAGAUACUACCCUUUUAAUUCUUGAUAUCUAACCAUGAAUCCUUGAAUCAGGAUUUGGGACAAUGCAUGGUGGGUAGUUUGACUGGGGCGGUCGCCUCCUAAAUAGUAACGGAGGCGCGCGAUGGUUAGCUCAGGUUGGUCAGAAAUCAACUGUUAGAGUGCAAUGGCAUAAGCUAGCCUGACUGCGAGACUGACAAGUCGAGCAGAGACGAAAGUCGGUCAUAGUGAUCCGGUGGUCCCGCGUGGAAGGGCCAUCGCUCAACGGAUAAAAGGUACGCCGGGGAUAACAGGCUGAUGAUUUCCAAGAGUCCAUAUCGACGAAAUCGUUUGGCACCUCGAUGUCGGCUCAUCACAUCCUGGGGCUGGAGAAGGUCCCAAGGGUACGGCUGUUCGCCGUUUAAAGUGGUACGUGAGCUGGGUUUAGAACGUCGUGAGACAGUUCGGUCCCUAUCUGCCGUGGGUGUAGGAAGUUUGAGAGGAUCUGCCUUUAGUACGAGAGGACCGAGGUGGACGUACCUCUGGUGGACCAGUUGUCGCGCCAGCGGCAUAGCUGGGUAGCUAAGUACGGACGGGAUAACCGCUGAAUGCAUCUAAGCGGGAAACCCACCUUAAAACUAGACUUCCCUAUCAGAGCCGUGGAAGACCACCACGUUGAUAGGCCAGGUGUGGAAGCAUGGUAACAUGUGAAGCUAACUGGUACUAAUAGCUCGAUUGUUUUAUUU